ensembl:lncRNA
CGGGGACUCACGGGGGCGGGGAGGAGGAACUGCACCCUCGGUUGGAGCUAAAAACAUCACCUUGGUUCAUGUGUUCAACACAUACUUACUCAGCCCCUGGAGAGGGCUGAGCACUGUGUGGCUGGGACCCUGCUUGGUGCUCUCCAGAAUGCCCAGCAGGCACCAGCACGUCAGGAUGGACGAGUGGUAGUGCUGGCAGGGCCCGGGGCUCAGCUGUGCCAGGCUGGAGUAGGGGGACAGGGCGUCCUGGGUGGCUGGGGCUGUGGAGAGGAAGAGAGGGUGACACACAGACAGUCCCAAGUUGCAUGAGCGCCGUCCCUCGUGGGGGUCUGCGUCCCUGUGCUGGGGUCUCUCGUGGUUGCUCAGGGUUUGCGAUGCGUGUCCCUCGUGUGUCAGCAUCUGCUGUGGAUCAGUGUUAAGACGACUUCACGGAGAACGCAAAAGCAACCUAAGAGCACGCUGCUGUUGCUGUUGCUUGAAACAGCCUGUUGACUUCUAAAUGUGCAAAGGAAAACAUUUCGUGUUUACCCACGUAUUUACUGUUUCCUGUACACUCUGCUGCUUCCUGCGCAUACGAAUUUCCACCUGGCCUCAUUUCCUUUCAGCCUGAGCUCUCCUUUAGCAUGUCUUAUAGUAUGCUGUCCCUCUGGAAAAUGUCUUUAUUUUGUCUUCAUUCUUCGAAGAUGUUUUAGUUGUGUAUAACAUUCUGGCCUGGCAGUAUUUUUCUUUUAGCUCUUUAAAGUUGUCAUUCCAUUGUCUUCUGGACUCCAUGGUUUCUGAUAAGUGAAUCAUGGGUUUAUUGCUGCAUCCUCUGUGGAGUGGAUGGAUGCUUGUUCUCUGGCUGAUUUUAAGAAUUGUUUUUAUCUUUAGUUUUCAGCAGUUUUAUAUAACGUUCUUCAUAAGAUGUAAUUUCCUUUUUAUUUAUCCCAAAGUUUGGUGAACUUUGUAAAUCCCUGGGUUACUGUUUUUGAUCAAAUUUGGAAAAAAAUCAGCCAAUAUUCUAUAAAUAUCUUUUUCUGCUCCAUUCUCCCCUCUCCUCAUAGGACUCCACUCAUCCCUGUGCUAGGGCGCUUGGCUCCGUUUAUUUUAAUCUCUUAGCCUGUGGGCCUCACUUUGGAUGACUUCAGUUUUGACUUGUCUCUGAGUUCAUUGGUCCUUUCUUAUGUUUCAUUCAACGUACUGUUAACCCUACUCAGUGAUAGAUUUUGUAAUAAUUUCAGAUAUUGUAGUUUUCCUUUCUAGGAUUUUCAUUUGGUUAUCUUUUUGCAGGUAAUUUCUCCUGAAAUUUUCCAUCUCUUCAGUCAUUAUCCAUCAAGUUUAAAGUCCUUUUCUGCCAGUUCCAGCAUUUGGGUCAUCUAUGGGUCUGUUCCUUUGGGCUGGUUUUUCUCUUGAUUAUGAGUCACAUUUUCCUGUUCCUUCCUAUUAUUAGAUUUUGUUGUUGUAUACUGGAUGUUGUGGAUGCUUUCCAGAUGUUGUAGAGAUUCUAAAUUCAGUUGUCUUCCUAGAAGAUGGCUGAGUUCUGUUUUAUUGCUCGUUUAAUUAUCAGGGAAUCACUUUGGGUUGGCAGAGGCUUGGCAUUAGGCUUUGUUAAGGCAGAUGUAUCUCUGUUUUGCCUUUAUUCUGAUUUCUUUUUCUUUUUUUUGAGGAAGAUUAGCCCUGAGCUAACAUCUGCCACCAGUCCUCCUCUUUUUGCUGAAGAAGACUGGCCCUGAGCUAACAUCCAUGCCCAUCUUUCUCUAUUUUAUAUGUGGGAUGCCUACCACAGCAUGGCUUGACAAGCAGUGCAUGGGUCCACACCUGGGAUCUGAAACAGCAAACCUCGGGCUGCCGAAGCGGAACAUACGAACUUAACCACUGCACCACCAGGCCGGGCCCUAUUCUGAUUUCUUAUUCCAUGUCCCUGUAGUCCUGGACAGGUCCGUCCUUCUACAGUGGGUCUUUCUGGGGUUUCAUGGAAAGCCAAGGUUUUUCCCGGUGCCUCUAACUUGGCAGAACUUGAGUUCCAAAUUCUCUCUUCCCUGUGGCAUGCAGCACUGCACGCUCUGCUCAGCUGUACUUCUGGCUCUUGUCCUUGGCCCUUUGGACUGUCAGCCACUCCUGUGCGAUUUAGGAGUCAGCCAAGGAUUUCAGAGGAGUUUAUAUGCAGAUUUUGGAGUGCCCCCUCUGUGUGUCCCUCCUCUCCAGGAUUUUCCCUUCAAUUUCCGGUUGUUUUGGCAGCACUGAGCUCUGUCCACCACUCCUCAGGUGAUGAGCCAGCAGCUUUCUGGUUGACCUCCGUCCUCCGUGCCCUGUGCAGUCAGCAGUAUCCUCUAGGGAGAGCCGUACCAAUACAGAUCGUACCUGUGUGCCCGCUUCUCUCAGGGCCACACUCCCCUCCGGGUCGUACCUGUGUUUGAUCACUCUCCAGUGCCUUCAGCCUUUCUUCUUUUCAUCCAGGGUUACAGUUGUUACUAACAGAAGAGCUUGUCCUAGACGAGCCGCUCCGUGAGCACUGGGAGCCAGAACCCUGUGCUGUGAGAUUCGAAGGAGACGACCACCACAUCUGUUCUCCCAGCCUGAUGGCCAGCCUCCACUUCUCAAAACCUGAAAAUCAUCCUCAGCUCCGUGGACGAAUCCCAGCUGCUUCCCCUGGCGGCCGGCUAGCUCAAGCUCAUCUCCCCGCACUUGCUCUGACCCCUCAAGACUUCAGCUUGGACCACUGCUUGUUCCUGAACCCUCCAGACCUGCGCAGCCCAGUGGAACCUUCUGCAACGGUGGGAGUGUUCCAGAUCUGCACUGUCCAAUGUGAUAGCCACUGCACUGGCCACUUGAGAUGUGGCUGCUGAGACUGAGGAACUGAGUGUGUAAUUUUAUGUAAUUAUGAUUGAAAUUCAAAUAGCCACAUGUGGCUGGUGGCUAACACAUUGGACAGAGAGAGCUCUAGACCGCCGCUGCUCAGAGUAUCGUCUGACAAUCAGGGUUAGCCUCGCCUGGGCAUUUGUUAGAAAUGCAGAAUCGUGGGCCCCCCGCCCCAGCCUGCUGAUCCGAAUCUCUGAGCUGGGCCCCAGCCCGCUGCAGCCCCCUGUGUUUACCGCUCUCUGGGUGGGGUCUGGUGCUGGGGCUGGGGAGGUGCUGCUGCAGUGCGCUGCACACCUCAGCCUUUUCACAAGCUGUUUCCUCGGCCUGGAAGUGCUUCUCUCUCUCCUCUGCUUAGCACAGUCCUGUUGUUCAGAAUCCAGGUAAAGCCAGCUCUUGGGGAGGCCCUCUCUGUUGGCCCCUCUGCUGCACCGGUAGGAUGGCGCCGUCACGCUGCGUCACCAUCUUUCGUUGAACGGUCUGUCCCCGGGAGCUCCUUGGGUGGGAGUGACCCUGGUCCUCCCUGUGUCCAGCCAGGCGCAGGCUAUUUCGGAUGCUCAGAACUGCCUGCUGAGUAACCCCCGGCCUGGCGAGGUCUGCGCUGCUGCCGGUGGCCUCUUUUCUGCCCUGGCACUUUGCUUUGGAAUCAGGGUUUUGGUCUUUGGAAAUCCUUAUGGCCAUUGGGAGGGUUCAAGUCUUAAAUUUCCUUUCAAGGGCUAAUUUUUUUUUUUUGCUCCUUUUUUAAGAGUAUAGAUUUUUCGUUUAGUUGGAAGAGUCAGGAAAUGCAGAUGUUGCUGUGGAUGGUUCAGAAUUCCCCGAGGGGUGAACUUGUUGAAUCCAUCUUGAAAGUGGGGGCCCUCAGCCAGGACCACGGCUGCUGACACAGGCGGAGGCGGGGCGCGGGCUUCUGUGUCAGAGCGGUCCCCGCAGGUCCUGACGCCUGGACUCAGCAUUCUCCCUGCCUGUGCGAACGCCCUCCCUGGGAGCUGCUGGGCCUGGGGCAGGCCCUGAGGGAGGGGUCAGGGCUGGGAUCCUGGCCGCUGGGCAAGAGGGGCUGCCUCCGAUCCCACCUUGGGUGGGUGCUUCCAGCCCACACGGCUGCCCCGGGCCCUGGCUCCGUGAGUUCAGUGGGGGCUCGGUUCUCCGUCCUCAGGGCCCAGGGCCCCAGCUCCCGCUGCAGGCCCUCCCUCAGUCCCGGAACCCAGCCUCUGAGACUCACCCCAUAGGCCACACUGGGCAUUAGCAGCCUGCUGCACCAAGCCGGCUACCAGGCAGCGGGGCAGAAGCAGGGUGCCAGGAGAACCAAUUCAGGGUUGGGAGAACAACAAAACCAGCCCAAAAGAUGUGGGUGUGAAUGUGGCCUCAGCCUCUUUGAGCUGCAUGGCCUUGAGCAAGUUACGGGAGCCUCAGUUUCCCCUCUGUAAAAUGGGAAUGGUGACGUCUGCCACAUGGGGCGAGAGACUCGCAUGUCCACCCAGUGCAGACCCUGGUGUGUGGGAGGGCAGGCCCAGUCUCCCUCCACCUGAGACGCUUGAGCCCUUCAGCCGGUAGAUGGCAGCUGACCUCAGUCCCACUCGCUGCUGCCCCUCUGGGCCAGGCUCCUGCUGGGGACACGGAGGAGCCUCACGCCUGGCCUGGAUCUUGAGGACCCCGAGCCCAGCAGGGACCUCAGCCGUGCCUAAGCACUGUGCCGGGAGAGAGGAAGGCAGAUUCCGGGGGCCCGGGGGACGCUGGGCCUUGCUGAGGAGGCAGGGAGAUGGGAGGAGGAGACGCACAAGGGUGUUUCAAAUGAUGAUCCAUGGUUGGGGGGGGCGGGGUGUGUUCCAGGCAGGGAACAGCACUGGCCAAGGCACAGAGACAGGCAGGAAACGGCUGGGUGCAGGCGGUGGGUGAGGUGGGCACGGGGUCAGGCCGCAGGACCCACAGGUGCUCACACCUGCCACCUGCUGCUGCUUCCUUCCGGGACUCCCUGCCCUCCUGCCCCAGCUUGCCGACGCCCUAGACAGGCUGAGUCCCCACUUCUGGGGCCCAUGGUAGCAUCUCACAGGCCUGGCGAUGAGGUCAGGGCCUUACCUGCUCAGCCACUGGGGCCACGGCCCCGUGCUGUGGUCACUCAGUGAGGGUGCACCUCACAGAACCCUUGGAGAGAGGCAUCUUCCAAAGGCAGGCUUGCUCUCCUGAUGCUGCAGAGUGGUGCUGGCACCUUCUGAAGGCACCAGACUGUCUGCUGGGCCACAGAACUCCGUCCCGAGGACAAGGUUCCCCCACUGCCUCUCUCCCACACCCUUGGCUGCACCAGGAGACGUGGCCGCGAGGAGGGGUCUGGGGGACAGGCAAAGGGAGGGGGGCUCAGAAGGCGCCCUCAUGCACACACCCACCCCAGAGAUGUCCAGGGUCCUUGCCCUCCGUGAAGCCACCUCCCGGGUCUGCUCCACCCCCAGCCUACGCCAGGCCAAGGAGUCCACGGGGCUCUGUGCUGGAAGCUUCUUCCUACAGAGGAGACACUGGCCAUUCUGUCCCUCUGUGACCCAUAAGCAAGGAUGCAGGUGACAGACGGCUCUCUGUGGGGCGCUUGGAGAACUGGCACUGCCUGUCAGGUCCUCAGACGGUGAGAAGCAGGUGACUUUUCUCAUCACCCUUUUUGCGAGGGCUGCUAGGAAGCUCAGAAGCAAGUUGUUCUUUAUGGAAACAUCAGUGGUAUAAAGUGUUAACAGCAGCCCCACAGCUGCUCACUGCAGCCAGCUCUGCCCCGCAGCAGGUGCGCUCAGGCCAGUCUCAGGGUUCCCAAGCCUCGGUCGCGUCGUCUGCAGAAUGGGCUCAAGAGAAACAAGCUCACAGGGCUGUUUGGGGAAUUAAAUGAGAUAUUUUGUGAGAAACACUCUUAACAAUGCGGUUGUCAUGUGAGGCAGGAAGUGUUGAUGUUUUUCUGCUUCUCAGCGGGAGGUGGAAUGAGCGUGAAGGACCAGUGGGUGGCACUAGGUAAGGAAUAGAUUUUUCCUGGUGGAUGGAUAAAAAGUUUCGGCAGCCCUAGCAGGUAGUAACUGACUGUUGAGAGGUCUCGGAUUUGGGUCUGCUGUGGGCGUGGUUCAGCUCCCAAAAAAAAGGGCAGCAAAAUGCAUUUGGGAUGUUUUGAAAGUGGAGCUGGGCAGCAGACACCCCAGGAAGGUGCAAGAACUCCAGGUCUAGGUCUGAGAUGCCGGCAGAAGGCGAGGGGUGUAGGUCCCGAAGGGCAGGAGGUCUGUCUCACCCAGCCCACGCUUACUGCGCACCCACAGUUUCUGAGCCCCUCCCUCUCCCUAGGCCCCCCUUGGUCAUGGGGUGCAGAGAGCAGUGACCAUGGUUCCCACCAGGCUCGGGGAUGGGUGCCUGAGGGAGGGUGCUGGGGGCACACGGUUCACGGCAGCUCUGCAUGUCUGGGGCAUCCUCCAUGGGCCCGGAGGGGGCUGGAGGUGGCACUGUGCCCAGGAGGAGUGGCUGGGGCUGGGCGUAGGGCUUCAGCCAGGGGAGAGAAGAGACAGUCCCAGGGGUCUUGGGUGGAGAACAGAACAGCUUGUUCUAUGCCACCCUCCAUACGGAACACGGAACAUCCAACACGGAAGCCAGACCGAGGGCAGAUUUCUGCUCAGCCCACGAAAGAAAAAAUGUUUGGAUCAGCAGAGCUGACAAGAGGUGGGACACACUGCCUCCGGGGAGUGAGCACCCUGUCAUCAAGGGUGUGCAAGUGGAGGCUGCACGACUAUCUGGCAGGAAUUCUGGGGGAUAUCUUCCCUGUUGAUAUUUGGGGGUGGGGGCGUGAACUUGAUCAUUUGCAGAUCCCUGUUAAUUUAGACAGUUUGUUUCUGGGAGUGGACAUCAUGGUGGAACUGUGGGCGCUGUGGAGCCUGGCUGUUGGGACCCAGAAUCUCCUCGUCAUGCUUCCAGUCUGCUGUGUGAUCUCAGGAGAGAAGAUAAGUUGAUUUUGAUGACUCAUCACGGGGCAUUCUCCAAAACGGGUCUGCGAACUCCUGUUAAUCGGCGACGGUGGCUAAUGGUGUGUUUCUAGAGCACUCCCCUGGUCAUGACUUCAGAAAUCCUCCUCCGUAGUCCAUGGAGUCAUUUUCAUAGUGGGCAGGCGCCCUGAAGUGGAAACGCUGUCCUGCCUUCUCCCUGUUGGCCUUGGUUGGCGCAUCUGGAUGCUUCCGGCAGAGUGGUCGUCAGGGCCGUGGCGAGGGACCCUCUGUGUAUUUGUUGUCUGCUGCUGUGUAAUGAAUUGCAACGAACUUCACGGCCAAAGGAACACUGUCCUCUCACAGUUGCUGUGGGCCUGGGCUCUGAGCGCGGCUUAGCCGGGUCCUCUGCUUAGGGCCUCAUCAGGCUGCUGCUGUCCUCUUGGCUGGGGAUGUGCUCUCAGCUCAAGCCUCACUGGUGAAGGGCCUGCUGCUGAGCUCACGUGGUUGUUGGCAGCAUUCGGUGCCUUGCUGGCUGUCGGCCAGAGGCUGGCCUCGGCUCGCUGCCACGUGGCCCUGUCCUGAGGCCCGUUCACCGUGUGGCAGCUUCUUCAGAGCUGGCAAGGGAGAGCGCCCCCUGGCAAGACUGCUGACACCCUCUCGUUUGGUUACUGCUGAAGUGACGGCCCAUCACCCUUGCAGGGUCCUGUUGGUUAGAAGCCAGUUGCAGGCCCUGCCCACACUCUGGAGGUUACUCGCGAACACAGGAGGUGGGCCAUGGGGCCACUCAGAGUUGGUGCUGUUGUCUGGGCCAGCCCACACCAUUUUAUCCACCCUUCAGACGAGCACACCCUGCAGCAUGGGCAGGGGCUGGAAUCCCAUCAGAGUGAGACGGGGGCAUGCCCUGUGCGCCUCACACUGGCACAUGGAAGGUGGAAGAGCUGGGUUGGCAUCACGGGCUGUGUGACCAUGGGUGGGCCACCUCCCGUGGGGGCUGCUCCCUCAUCCGUAAAGUGAGGAGGGGGUGACCUUGAGGGGUCCCAGCCCAUUCUCUGCUGAGGAUAUCUGCCCCCUGCCCCCGGCUGCAGGUGCCACAUUUGGGGGGCUGCUCUCCCUCACAAACCCUCCUGUUCUCCAAGGACACUGACUGGGCCCUCCACAAAGUUAACCCAGGUCUGACACUGUCUGCCUGGCAUAGCGUCAGACCCCACAGGUUAAGGGCUCUAUCCCACAAGACUCCCUCCCCUCCCCCGCUUCAGAUGCCGGUCACAAGUCCAGGUUGUCACUUGUGCUUUGGACCUCCUGGCUGAACAUCAGAGGUUCCCAUGACCCCCUCCUCGGGUUCCAUCAUUUGCUAGAGUGGCUCACAAACUCACAAAAAUGGUUUACUUACCUUAUCACACCUGCCACCUCCCCACGGCCCCUGGCAGGGGGCCUUCCAUUCCGCCAGCCCCCAGCCCCAGCUGAUGGAUCCAAGCCUGAGGAGCUGGCCCAAAGGAACUGCCCAGAGCGACAGGUGCUUGCUCAGUGGAACCUGAACCAAGGGGUGUGGAGUCUGGUCAGACAGAGGGUCCUAGCAGCAAGGCCAUAUGGGGCUGUGUGCCCAGUGGCGAGGGGCAGAGCAUGCUGGCCCAGAAGUGACCUCUGGGGCAGUCUCCUGACCUUAAACUGUAGGUGAUGGGUGGCCCUGCCAGGUAGAGGACUGAGUGGGGUGACCAGGCCGCACACCUCGGAGGGCGUGGCGCCGAGUCGGUGCCCAGUGAGAUGUGGAAGUCAGCUGCUGUGUACGGAAGCUGGCGAGCAGUGGUCAUGCUGGGGCUGCUGUGACUGUGCGGGGGGAGCCUCACCCCGGGGGAGGCCGGGCGAGUUCCGUUGUAGCUCUGCUGACCGAGCCUGAGAUGGGUUUCUUUUUAUUUAUUUAUUUUUGUUCUUUUUUUUCCUUUAUUUUAAAGUAUGGAAGCUCAAGUAUAAGAUGUAG